CCUACGGGGGGCUGCAGUGGGGAAUAUUGGACAAUGGGGGGAACCCUGAUCCAGCCAUGCCGCGUGUGUGAAGAAGGCCCUCGGGUUGUAAAGCACUUUCAGUGAGGAAGAACGCCUGGUGGUUAAUACCCAUCAGGAAAGACAUCACUCACAGAAGAAGCACCGGCUAACUCCGUGCCAGCAGCCGCGGUAAUACGGAGGGUGCGAGCGUUAAUCGGAAUUACUGGGCGUAAAGCGCGCUUAGGUGGCUUGAUAAGCCGGUUGUGAAAGCCCCGGGCUCAACCUGGGAACGGCAUCCGGAACUGUCAAGCUAGAGUGCAGGAGAGGAAGGUAGAAUUCCCGGUGUAGCGGUGAAAUGCGUAGAGAUCGGGAGGAAUACCAGUGGCGAAGGCGGCCUUCUGGACUGACACUGACACUGAGGUGCGAAAGCGUGGGUAGCAAACAGGAUUAGAUACCCGAGUAGUC
rnacentral:rRNA from 1 species